GCUUCAUCCUGACAGAGCUUGUACAUUCAGUACCUAGAGUUCUUGAGGGAACAAAGGGGAGAAAGCUAAAACAGAACAGCCAGCCACAUAGAAUGAGGGUGGGGAGAAAUGUUGAUAGCUCUGAGAAUCAAAUGACUGAACCACAAAUGGAAAUGAAGACCUUGCCAAAACCCUAGCUGACCUGACCACAUUCAAGUACCCUUGAAGAAAUGAGGAAGAAGAAGAAAAAAAAAAAAAAAAAAAAAAAGGAAA